CAGCAGCCGCGGUAAUACAGAGGGUGCAAGCGUUAAUCGGAAUUACUGGGCGUAAAGCGCGCGUAGGUGGUUUGUUAAGUUGGAUGUGAAAGCCCCGGGCUCAACCUGGGAACUGCAUCCAAAACUGGCAAGCUAGAGUACGGUAGAGGGUGGUGGAAUUUCCUGUGUAGCGGUGAAAUGCGUAGAUAUAGGAAGGAACACCAGUGGCGAAGGCGACCACCUGGACUGAUACUGACACUGAGGUGCGAAAGCGUGGGGAGCAAACAGGAUUAGAGACCCCUGUAGUCCCUGUCUCUUAUAC
rnacentral:rRNA from 1 species